AGUGUGUUUAUCCCUCAGCUCUCUGUGUCUGAUCAGUGUGACCGUGGGAACACGUGGAGCAAACGCUGGAGCAGAGGAAGCUCCGGCUCUCAGGUCGGCCUUCUUCUGGCGCUCCAAAUGGACUUCGGCAGACAUAUUUGCACCUUAAUGAAUAUCUCCACUGCUAAGAUCUCCACUUUCCAAUUUCUUUGUGAGGUAAAGCGAUUCAAGCCGCUGAGCUGCUCUAAAUAGGUGCCACUGUGAAUUGGCGACAGAUGGAAACGAAGGUUCCCUGCAGAGUGGUUCCCCUGCAGCUGUGCUGUGUACCCGGUGCCAGGGAGUGAUGACAGCUCAGCAAGGGGGCACCCAGAGACAUAGAAGACAGCACCAUCUCCAUCUCACUUACGCCCUCCCUAGAACACACUAGCAGGCUGUGCAAAGGUGCAAAGAGGAGGGGUGUUAGCUCCAAUACCAGCCUCGAGGAAUGUGAAAGUAGAGAUUUAAGCAACCCUGUUCGCUGCAGCAGCUCCCGCCACCACCAAGCAAGGCCUUUCUUGAUCAAGACAAGCUAGGAGAACAUAAAAGCAGAGCCAAGUCCAUCUUUUUGCUACUUUGCAUGGAUUUAAUCAAAUUGCUUGUCUUAACAGGCUGACCUUUCUGAAUAAAUA